CCUACGGGGUGCUGCAGUGAGGAAUAUUGGUCAAUGGACGAGAGUCUGAACCAGCCAAGUAGCGUGAAGGAUGACUGCCCUAUGGGUUGUAAACUUCUUUUAUAUGGGAAUAAAAUGUUCCACGUGUGGGAUUUUGUAUGUACCAUAUGAAUAAGGAUCGGCUAACUCCGUGCCAGCAGCCGCGGUAAUACGGAGGAUCCGAGCGUUAUCCGGAUUUAUUGGGUUUAAAGGGAGCGUAGGUGGAUUGUUAAGUCAGUUGUGAAAGUUUGCGGCGCAACCGUAAAAUUGCAGUUGAAACUGGCAGUCUUGAGUACAGUAGAGGUGGGCGGAAUUCGUGGUGUAGCGGUGAAAUGCUUAGAUAUCACGAAGAACUCCGAUUGCGAAGGCAGUUCACUGGACUGCAACUGACACUGAGGCUCGAAAGUGUGGGUAUCAAACAGGAUUAGAUACCCCAGUAGUC
rnacentral:rRNA from 1 species